GCGGCUAUAGUUCAGGGGUUAGAACGCCAGAUUGUGGUUCUGGAUGUCGUGGGUUCAAAUCCCACUAGCCGCCCCA
rnacentral:tRNA from 1 species